rnacentral:misc_RNA from 1 species
UACGGGGGGUGCAAGCGUUAUCCGGAUUCACUGGGUUUAAAGGGUGCGUAGGCGGGCAGGUAAGUCAGUGGUGAAAUCCCCGAGCUUAACUCGGGAACUGCCGUUGAUACUAUUUGUCUUGAAUGCUGUGGAGGUAAGCGGAAUAUGUCAUGUAGCGGUGAAAUGCUUAGAUAUGACAUAGAACACCUAUUGCGAAGGCAGCUUGCUACACAGAAAUUGACGCUGAGGCACGAAAGCGUGGGGAUCAAACAGG